GCCAGGCGUGGUGGCACACGCCUGUGAUCCCAACGGCUUAGGAGGCUGAGGCAGGAGGAUCACAAGUCCAAAGCUAGCCUCAGCAACUUAGUGAGGCCCUAAGCAACUCAGUAAGAACCUGUCUCUA
rnacentral:sRNA from 1 species